UACGUAGGGGGCUAGCGUUGUCCGGAUUUAUUGGGCGUAAAGAGCGUGUAGGCGGUCCGAUAAGUCGGUUGUGAAAGUCCAGGGCUCAACCCUGGGAUGCCGACCGAUACUGUCGGACUAGAGUCCGGUAGGGGAGCGUGGAAUUCCUGGUGUAGCGGUGAAAUGCGCAGAUAUCAGGAGGAACACCGGUGGCGAAGGCGGCGCUCUGGGCCGGAACUGACGCUGAGGAGCGAAAGCGUGGGGAGCAAACAGG
rnacentral:rRNA from 1 species